rfam:Triticum aestivum genome assembly, contig: Triticum_aestivum_CS42_TGACv1_scaffold_249487_3DL
UAACUACUCCCUCCGUUCCGAAUUACUCGUCGCAGAAAUGGAUGUAUCUAGAACUAGAUACAUCCAUUUCUGCGAUGAGUAAUUCGGAACGGAGGGAGUACAAG